ACCAACCUGAAGACUACUCGAAACGAGAGCCACCAAACACGAAACUUGACAAGAAUUACUCCCUGAAUCUAAACCCUUCAUCAAUUUCCCCUAUGAGCAAGCCUAACGCAUGGAUCAGAGGCCACCAGUGAAAAAAAAACCUAACCAUCCCCAAACCCAAAAUCGAACCUAAAUUCCUUCAAUUAUUGCAACACGAAGCUCAAACAACACCUCAAUCAAAGAAGAUUAAAGAGGUUUCAGGCUUACCGACCGGAGCAGUUCCGGCGACUCUUCAACGGCGAUGACGGUAACAGAAAACUAGUAGCUCGACGCGAAAUAAACGCGGAGUCUUGAAGAGGAACCUCAGCUUGAAGCAAAUACGAAGAUGGUGACGACGAACCUUAGGUUUUAUUCUGGUAUGCACGAUGACUUAGGGCUGUACGAGUCGCAUUGGUGCAGGCUCGUCGAAUUUCCUUUUGCGUUUGUAGCUGGACUAGGCUCAUGUAUGGACCGGUUUGUGGACUGGUUAGCUGGUAAGCAGGUUGGUGGUAUUGAAUGAUGUUUCAAACAAAAGACAUGUGGUAAUGGGUAAAGUGAAUUUGGGAGUGGCAAUGAAUGAAGUUAAAUAACUCACUUUUGGGGUGACAUGAACGUGAAAUGGUUGAAGUAUGUACAGACCAUGAGUUCCUAUGGCAGUACGAAGCAUUUGCUAUUUGACAUUUUGAUAUUUGCAGCAUAGUUGGAGAGAACAUGGGAUUAUUAGAACAAGGCAAAUGAAAUCAAUUUGAAUCAAGUUGUGUGACUAUUUGAAUAUGCUCUUAGAAUAGGUGGUUCAAGGUUUAUAUUUGUAUAGGUUUCUUGUAGAAUCUUGGACUUUAUUUAAACUUUGUAAUGGU